rnacentral:rRNA from 1 species
GACAGAGGCCUCGAGCGUUAGGCGGAAUCACUGGGCUUAAAGCGUGUGUAGGCGGAUCGUUAAGUGCCUUGUGAAAUCCCACGGCUUAACUGUGGAACGGCUGGGCAUACUGGCGGUCUUGAGCCAUCUAGGGGCGACUGGAACAAACGGUGGAGCGGUGAAAUGCGUAGAUAUCGGGAGGAACACCUGAGGCGAAGGCGGGCUACUGGGCCGAUACUGACGCUGAUGCGCGAAAGCCAGGGGAGCAAACGGG